GGAGGGAACUUUCCCAGGCCCCGAGGCGGAUCGGGUAUUGAGUCCAUGGAGCGAGCUGAGAGCUAGAGUACAGAACCUGCUAAGGCCAUCAAACCUAUCGAUCGGAAGUCAGUCCAUCAGAUUUGCUCUGGGCCGGUGGUACUGAGUCUAAGCACUGCGGUGAAGGAGUUAGUAGAAAACAGUCUGGAUGCUGGUGCCACCAAUAUUGAUCUAAAGCUUAAGGACUAUGGAGUGGAUCUCAUUGAAGUUUCAGACAAUGGAUGUGGGGUAGAAGAAGAAAACUUUGAAGGCUUAACGAUGUCACCAUUUCUACCUGCCACGCAUCGGCGAAGGUUGGGACUCGACUGGUGUUUGAUCACGAUGGGAAAAUCAUCCAGAAAACCCCCUACCCCCACCCCAGAGGGACCACAGUCAGCGUGAAGCAGUUAUUUUCUACACUACCUGUGCACCAUAAGGAAUUUCAAAGGAAUAUUAAGAAGACGUGCCUGUUUCCCCUUCGCCUUCUGCCGUGAUUGUCAGUUUCCUGAGGCCUCCCCAGCCAUGCUUCCUGUACAGCCUGCAGAACUGCUGGGAAGUCCAAGAUCAAGGUGCUGGCAUUUUGCCAGGGCCUUCUUGCUGUGUCACCACAUCCGUGGCUGAAGGUGAUCUCAGCCCUCCUCCAGGCUUCGAUUAUAACUUACAGGAUUGUGAUUCACACAUUUCAGUUUCCACCACAGGCCCCUCCAGACAUGUCCAUCUGCCUGCUGUGUUGACUUUUCCCUUUGGAGUCUUGAGGCAGCUACAAGCUUACUGACCAGAAAUGAACUCAAGCUCUCCCCGAAGCCUGGUCCUCUUCCAGGAUCAGCCAGCCUGGAAGAUGGCACUGUCAUCCACCCUGUUCUCAGGCCUGCCACCCAGGAGUCAACCUUAGCCCCAUCUAAUUGUCAGAGGCAUCUGAACCACAGCAACUCCAUCUUGAGUAGGGGAUGGGUAAAAUGAGGCUGAGACCUGCUGGGCUGCAUUCCCAGACAGCCAAGGCAUUAGCCACAGGAUAAGAUAGGCGGUCGGUACAAGACACAGGUCAUAAAGACCUUGCUGAUAAAACAGUUGGCAGUAAAGAAGCCAGCCAAAACCCACUAAAACCAAGAUGGCAACGAGAGUGACCUCUGGUCGUCCUCACUGCUACCCUCCCACCAGCACCAUGACAGUUUACAAAUGCCAUGGCAAUGUCAGAAAGUUACCCUAUAGGGUCUAAAAAGGGGAGGCAUGAAUAAUCUACCCCUUGUUUAGCAUAUCAUCAAGAAAUAACCAUAAAAAUAGGCAACCAGCAGCCCUCAGGGAUGCUCUGUCUAUGGAGUAGCCAUUCUUUUGUUCCUUUACUCUCUUAAUAAACUUGUUUUCACUUUACUCUAUGGACUCGCCCUGAAUUCUCUCUUGUGCAAGAUCCAAGAACCCUCUCUUGGGGUCUGGAUCGGGACCCCUUUCCUGUAACAUAAUCAAUUUGGUGCCAAAUGCAUGAAGUGUUAUCUUCUAGGUCUCUCAAAUCCAUCCACUGUUCUCCAUCCAGGAGAGUGUCACCAGGGCUGGCACAGAUGGUUGCAUACUGCAGAAAGGUCACCACGCAAGCCAUUACCUCUCACCUGUUCCAUGAAAAUACCAACUCAUCUCCUUCCCUUUUGGCCUCUCCAAGCCAUAUUCCAAUCCACAGCUAAAACGAUUUCAUUAAAAUGCAAAUCUAAUCCCGUUGUUCCUUUGCAUAACUGCCCUGGGGAGAGGCCCGGCCUCUGCCUCCCCGAGUCAUCACCCAUUAUGUGCCCCUGGUGUCCCCGUGUGGCCUGGCUCUUCCCUUCACUUCCCACAUCGUCCUUCAGCUCCAGCCACUGUGGCCUUCCUGCAGCUGCCCAGGUGUGUCACGCUCCAGUAUUUGUCCAUUUUCACGCUGCUGAUAAAGACAUGCCCGAGACUGGGUAAUUUAUAAAGAAAAAGAGGUUUAAUGGACUCACAGUUCCAUGUGGCUGGAGAGGCCUCACAAUCGUGGUGGAAGGCAAAAGCCAUGUCUUACAUGGCGGCAGACAAGAGAGAGAGUGAGAGCCAAGCAAAAGGGGAAAUCCCUUUUAAAACCAUCAGAUCUCGUGAGACUUAUUCACUACCAUGAAGACAGUAUGGGAGAAAGAGCCCCCAUGAUUCAAUUACCUCCCACCAGGUCCCUCCCUAAACGUGGGAAUUAUGGGAGCUAUCAUUCAAGAUGAGAUUUGGGUGGGGACACAGCCAAACCCUAUCAGCCCCCGCCCCCUACCCCAGGAAUUGGAAGAAUUCUUCUCUUAGGCACCAGCACAAUCAGUGCACGCCUCCUCCCACAUCUCUGACUCCAUCUCUCCAAUGACAAUCACCCAGAGACUGUCUCUCUCUUCUGUGGCUCUUACCAUCACUUGUAUUUGAUGUAUAAUAUUUAUUUCUGUGGAUCUUUGUCUUUGAUGAAUGUGGCACAUCAUAAUGAUAAGAAAUAUCCUUUCUUUUUCCUAUCCUCCUUUUACUUAUCAAUAAAUCCCCUGUAACUAGAACAAAA
ensembl:lncRNA PMS2P4 PMS1 homolog 2, mismatch repair system component pseudogene 4